rnacentral:rRNA from 1 species
CAGUAGCCGCGGUAAUACCGAGGGUGCGAGCGUUAAUCGGAUUUACUGGGCGUAAAGCGUGCGUAGGCGGCUUCUUAAGUCGGAUGUGAAAUCCCUGAGCUUAACUUAGGAAUUGCAUUCGAUACUGGGAAGCUAGAGUAUGGGAGAGGAUGGUAGAAUUCCAGGUGUAGCGGUAAAAUGCGUAGAGAUCUGGAGGAAUACCGAUGGCGAAGGCAGCCAUCUGGCCUAAUACUGACGCUGAGGUACGAAAGCAUGGGGAGCAAACAGGAUUAGAUACCCCUGUAGUCCCUGUCUCUUAUAC